rnacentral:tRNA from 1 species
GGGGCUGUAGCUCAGUGGUAGAGUGCUUGCCUGGCAUGCAUGAGGCCCUGGGUUCGAUCCCCAGCACCACA